rnacentral:siRNA from 1 species
CCGAUUGCCGACCCUCAGUAG